rnacentral:rRNA from 1 species
GAUGAACGCUGGCGGCGUGCCUAAUACAUGCAAGUCGAGCGAACAGACGAGGAGCUUGCUCCUCUGACGUUAGCGGCGGACGGGUGAGUAACACGUGGAUAACCUACCUAUAAGACUGGGAUAACUUCGGGAAACCGGAGCUAAUACCGGAUAAUAUAUUGAACCGCAUGGUUCAAUAUUUAAAGACGGUUUUGCUGUCACUUAUAGAUUGAUCCGCGCCGCAUUAGCUAGUUGGUAAGGUAACGGCUUACCAAGGCGACGAUGCGUAGCCGACCUGAGAGGGUGAUCGGCCACACUGGAACUGAGACACGGUCCAGACUCCUACGGGAGGCAGCAGUAGGGAAUCUUCCGCAAUGGGCGAAAGCCUGACGGAGCAACGCCGCGUGAGUGAUGAAGGUCUUCGGAUCGUAAAACUCUGUUAUUAGGGAAGAACAAAUGUGUAAGUAACUAUGCACGUCUUGACGGUACCUAAUCAGAAAGCCACGGCUAACUACGUG